rnacentral:tRNA from 1 species
GGUUUGUGGCUCAGUGGUAAAGCACUUGCAUAUCAUGCAUGAGGCACUGAGUUCAAUCCCUGGCACCA